AAUAGGUGGAAUUGCUGACUCUUCUUUUCUAUUAAUAGCCUUUUAGCACUUACUUCCAAAGCUUCUUUAUCCAUGGUGUUCAGAGCAAUUUAUUCACUAAAAUAACUCAACUUCUUAACUGCAUAAACUACCUUACCCAAAAGAGAAACUUUCCAUUUCCAAAAUCCAAAAUCCAAACUUUUUUCUUCCUAAAAAUACAUAUAUUUUCCCCUGUUUCUUGAUGAUGAAUCAAUUGUAUUCCGUUAAAGAGGAGUUCCCGGGGUCAAGUUCUGGUGGGGGUGAGCCCCCACCGUUGACACCACAACCAAUGGAAGGGCUUCAUGACAUUGGUCCACCACCAUUCCUUACAAAGACAUAUGAAAUGGUGGAUGAUUCAACUAUAGAUCAUGUUGUUUCUUGGAACAGAGGAGGUCAAAGCUUCGUAGUCUGGGAUCCUCAUGCCUUUUCGACUACACUACUUCCCAGAUUCUUCAAACACAACAAUUUCUCGAGCUUUGUCAGACAGCUAAAUACUUAUGGAUUUAGAAAGAUUGAUCCAGAGAGAUGGGAAUUCGCAAACGAGGCAUUUCUAAAGGGGAGUAAGCAUCUUCUAAGGAACAUCAAGAGGCGAAAAACGUCUAAUUCUCCUACAGAGCACGGUCUCGGUCCUUGUGUCGAAUUGGGAUUUGAUGGAGAAGUUGAUCGAUUGAGGCGUGACAAGCAAGUAUUGAUGAUGGAACUAGUGAAGCUUAGACAGAAUCAACAGAAUACUCGAGCUUACAUUCGAUCUUUGGAGGUAAAGUUACAAGGAACAGAGAGGAAGCAGCAACAAAUGAUGAAUUUUUUAGCAAGAGCUAUGCAAAAUCCGGAGUUUGUCCAGCAGUUGAUCCAUCAAAAAGGGAAGAGAAUAGAAAUUGAAGAGGAUAUAACUAAAAAAAGGCAACGACCUAUUGAUCAUCAAGGUCCUAGUGCUAGUACAUUACAUGUUGGAGGAUUUAGCCAUUUCAUAAAAUCAGAACCCUUGGAAUUCGGAGAGGCUAACGGAUUCCAAGUGUCUGAACUUGAAGCACUUGCAUUAGAAAUACAGGGAUUUGGUAGAGCAAGAAAGGAUCAACAAGAAGAGUACACGAUAGAAGGGCUCGAACAAUUUGUCUACACGGAUAAAGAACUUGAUGAGGGGUUUUGGGAAGAGCUAUUUAACGAUGAGGAUGUGUCUGGAAAUGAAGAGGAAGAUGUAGAUGUCUUGGCAGAGAGGUUAGGGUUCUUGGAUUCGAACCCUUAGUAAAAGCCUCAAACUAGUUUUGUCUCAUGUGCUUUUUCAAGAACUCAUUCAUCAGCUGGACCGUUACAUCGAAAUCUUUGAGUUUUCAAGUAUUCAACGACAAAUGAAGAAAGCAGCUAUAUGGAUCAACCAGCUACUCGUUGGAUAGAUUCAUGAAGGACUCAAGAGUCAAGUCUGAAAAUCCUUGCAUAGGUUAUGCACAAUUUGAUCAAGUCUAUGGUCUUUCAAGGUCAUUUUGGGUAAUAAAAAAUGUCAACGGGUGCGUGUUGAAUUCUUCAAAAGUAAUGUAUUUCUGAAGAAACUGAUACGAGUGCGGCAUCAAAGUAAUAUUGAAAUGUUGUCCUUGCUUGUGUGGUGAAUAGAUUGUUGUCUUUAUGAUGAAGACAUAGGUAACAAACAGAAAUCCCAAUUACAUCAGAAUCAAGAUUUCACCACAAGUGGCGGUUUGUAACUACUUUGCUGACAAAGAUUUAAUUUGUUUGCCAUUUAGUGUCCUUGUCUCUAUUUGUGAGAAAUGAAUCAUGUCCAAUUGUCCAUGUUCCAUA